rnacentral:lncRNA from 1 species
UCUCACUCUGUGAACCCAGCUCCUGCUUCUGAGGUGCCUUCCCAGCCUGACACCACCUAGAGGGCCUCCAUGCAGACUCCCAGGAGUCACCGUGAAGGCCAGAACAAGGCUGUGCCAUUGUGCUGCCCACUGACCUGAGAGCACUCCCAGGAGCUGGAACUGCCUUGUGCCCAGUUCCUCCCUCAAGCCCCCAUGCAACUAGGCCAGUCCACAAGGACAGGAGGAUGGAUUCCCACCAUGACAUUGCUGUGUUUUUACAAGGACAAAGCCAAACAGCCCGAGAACCUGCCAACUGGAGGUUCUGGAACACUCUCUGCGUGGUCUUCCCGAGCAAGUCUUCUAGGUUGGAACCUCUGGCAGGAGCAGAGGCCAUGACUUGAACCCAGACCUGUCAUCGGUAGUGCUCCCAACUGCAGUCAUCCCUUAACAGCUGGCCAGGUUCCAGGUCCCUUUCUCCUUCCAGCCUCUGUUUACCCAGCUUGCACAAUCAGCUCAUAAGUCUACAAUUUUUUUCUUUUUUACUCUGAAA